GAUCAACGCUGGCGGCGUGCCUAACACAUGCAAGUCGAACGAUGAAGAUUAAAAGAUUUCUUCGGAAUGAACUUAAUUGGAUUAGUGGCGGACGGGUGAGUAACGCGUGAGUAACCUGCCUUGUACAAGGGGAUAGCCGUUGGAAACGACGAAUAAUACCCUAUGACAUCAAAUAAUCGCAUGAUAAUUUGAUCAAAGAUUUAUCGGUAUAAGAUGGACUCGCGUCUGAUUAGCUAAUUGGUAGAGUAAAAGCCUACCAAGGCAACGAUCAGUAGCCGGCUUGAGAGAGUGUACGGCCACAUUGGGACUGAGACACGGCCCAGACUCCUACGGGAGGCAGCAGUGGGGAAUUUUGCACAAUGGGGGAAACCCUGAUGCAGCGACGCCGCGUGAUUUAGAAGGCCUUCGGGUUGUAAAAAUCUUUUGUAUGGGAAGAAAAUGACAGUACCAUACGAAUAAGGACCGGCUAAUUACGUG
rnacentral:rRNA from 1 species